GAUGAACGCUGGCGGCGUGCCUAAUACAUGCAAGUCGAGCGAACGGACGAGAAGCUUGCUUCUCUGAUGUUAGCGGCGGACGGGUGAGUAACACGUGGAUAACCUACCUAUAAGACUGGGAUAACUUCGGGAAACCGGAGCUAAUACCGGAUAAUAUUUUGAACCGCAUGGUUCAAAAGUGAAAGACGGUCUUGCUGUCACUUAUAGAUGGAUCCGCGCUGCAUUAGCUAGUUGGUAAGGUAACGGCUUGCCAAGGCAACGAUGCAUAGCCGACCUGAGAGGGUGAUCGGCCACACUGGAACUGAGACACGGUCCAGACUCCUACGGGAGGCAGCAGUAGGGAAUCUUCCGCAAUGGGCGAAAGCCUGACGGAGCAACGCCGCGUGAGUGAUGAAGGUCUUCGGAUCGUAAAACUCUGUUAUUAGGGAAGAACAUAUGUGUAAGUAACUGUGCACAUCUUGACGGUACCUAAUCAGAAAGCCACGGCUAACUACGUGCCAGCAGCCGCGGUAAUACGUAGGUGGCAAGCGUUAUCCGGAAUUAUUGGGCGUAAAGCGCGCGUAGGCGGUUUUUUAAGUCUGAUGUGAAAGCCCACGGCUCAACCGUGGAGGGUCAUUGGAAACUGGAAAACUUGAGUGCAGAAGAGGAAAGUGGAGUUCCAUGUGUAGCGGUGAAAUGCGCAGAGAUAUGGAGGAACACCAGUGGCGAAGGCGACUUUCUGGUCUGUAACUGACGCUGAUGUGCGAAAGCGUGGGGAUCAAACAGGAUUAGAUACCCUGGUAGUCCACGCCGUAAACGAUGAGUGCUAAGUGUUAGGGGGUUUCCGCCCCUUAGUGCUGCAGCUAACGCAUUAAGCACUCCGCCUGGGGAGUACGACCGCAAGGUUGAAACUCAAAGGAAUUGACGGGGACCCGCACAAGCGGUGGAGCAUGUGGUUUAAUUCGAAGCAACGCGAAGAACCUUACCAAAUCUUGACAUCCUUUGACAACUCUAGAGAUAGAGCUUUCCCCUUCGGGGGACAAAGUGACAGGUGGUGCAUGGUUGUCGUCAGCUCGUGUCGUGAGAUGUUGGGUUAAGUCCCGCAACGAGCGCAACCCUUAAGCUUAGUUGCCAUCAUUAAGUUGGGCACUCUAAGUUGACUGCCGGUGACAAACCGGAGGAAGGUGGGGAUGACGUCAAAUCAUCAUGCCCCUUAUGAUUUGGGCUACACACGUGCUACAAUGGACAAUACAAAGGGCAGCGAAACCGUGAGGUCAAGCAAAUCCCAUAAAGUUGUUCUCAGUUCGGAUUGUAGUCUGCAACUCGACUACAUGAAGCUGGAAUCGCUAGUAAUCGUAGAUCAGCAUGCUACGGUGAAUACGUUCCCGGGUCU
rnacentral:rRNA from 1 species